CUAUGGGGUGCUCCAGUGAGGAAUAUUGCACAAUGGGGGGAACCCUGAUGCAGCAACGCCGCGUGGAGGAUGACGCAUUUCGGUGUGUAAACUCCUUUUAUAUGUCAAGAAAAUGACGGUAGCAUAUGAAUAAGCACCGGCUAACUCCGUGCCAGCAGCCGCGGUAAUACGGAGGGUGCAAGCGUUACUCGGAAUCACUGGGCGUAAAGGACGCGUAGGCGGGUUGGCAAGUCAGGUGUGAAAUCCUACAGCUUAACUGUAGAACUGCACUUGAAACUUCUAAUCUAGAGUAUGGGAGGGGGAUAUGGAAUUAGUGGUGUAGGGGUAAAAUCCGUAGAUAUCACUAGGAAUACCUAAAGCGAAGGCGAUCUCCUGGAACAUUACUGACGCUAAGGCGUGAAAGCGUGGGGAGCAAACAGGAUUAGAUACCCCUGUAGUC
rnacentral:rRNA from 1 species